rnacentral:rRNA from 1 species
UGAGGAAUAUUGGUCAAUGGGCGCAAGCCUGAGCCAGCCAUCCCGCGUGAAGGAAGAAGGCGCUAUGCGUUGUAAACUUCUCUUCCAGGGGAAUAAAAUUCUGUACGUGUACGGAAUUGAAGGUACCCUGGGAAUAAGCAUCGGCUAACUCCGUGCCAGCAGCCGCGGUAAUACGGAGGAUGCAAGCGUUAUCCGGAUUUAUUGGGUUUAAAGGGUGCGCAGGCGGAGUAGUAAGUCAGUGGUGAAAACCUGCAGCUUAACUAUAGAAUUGCCGUUGAUACUGCUGCUCUUGAGUAUGGUCAAGGUAGGCGGAAUGUGUAAUGUAGCGGUGAAAUGCUUAGAUAUUACACAGAACACCGAUUGCGAAGGCAGCUUGCUGGGCCAUUACUGACGCUCAUGCACGAAAGCGUCGGGAUCGAGCAG